GAUGAACGCUAGCGGGAGGCUUAACACAUGCAAGUCGAGGGGCAGCACGGGGUAGCAAUACUCUGGUGGCGACCGGCGCACGGGUGAGUAACGCGUAUGCAACCUACCCUGUACAGGGGGAUAACCCGGAGAAAUUCGGACUAAUACCCCAUAAAGAUAUGAUGAGGCAUCUUAUUAUAUUUAAAGCUGAGGCGGUACGGGAUGGGCAUGCGUAACAUUAGCUAGUUGGUAGGGUAACGGCCUACCAAGGCUACGAUGUUUAGGGGUCCUGAGAGGGUGAUCCCCCACACUGGUACUGAGACACGGACCAGACUCCUACGGGUGGCUG
rnacentral:rRNA from 1 species